rnacentral:rRNA from 1 species
GACAGAGGAGCCAAGCGUUGUCCGGACUGACUGGGCGUAAAGCGCACGCAGGCGGCGCUGCGCGUGGGGUGUGAAAGCUCUUGGCUUAACUGAGAGAGGCCAUCCCAUACGGCAGUGCUCGAGCGGUGCAGAGGUCCGCGGAAUUGCCGGUGUAGUGGUGAAAUGCGUAGAGAUCGGCAGGAACACCCGUGGCGAAAGCGGCGCGCUGGACCACUACUGACGCUGAGGAACGAAAGCUAGGGGAGCAAACAGG